UCUGAAACCGAGAAACCGUAUACUUAUCCAACGCCGAGUUGGAGUGUUAAACCGAUCGCUGGAAACCUGUCCUCCAGAAAGUAACCGAGUAACAAUGCUCGUGCGUAAAACAGCGAUCAUUACCAUCAUCACCGUUAUCGGGCCGAUCGUGAUCGAGAGGGAAAAAGUAUUUCGGCGUAUUAUCGUCCGUUCGUCGAAACAAUUUGAAACACCUAAUCAUCGAUCGCUCUCUUUCUCGUCCGGCACGAAUCGGUCAAACCUCUAAUUCAAUAAAAAUUUAAUAGCGGUGGACGAUGAUGAGUGGGGCGAGAGCGGAGGAGGAGUGCACGCUCGAUCGAACGAGCCACGGUGGAAGAAAGAAAGAAAGAAAGAAAGGAAGGAAGCGAGGCUCUGAUCCUCGUAGCCGGCGGCCAGCAUCAUCGUGGUACGUAUCCCCCAAUCGGUCAUUUAACGGAGGCCAUCGUACACGCGUAAGUUCGAAAUCAAGGGCCCAUUCAUUCCUAUUCCCCGUCGACGCUCAAUUAAGUCAGGUAAACAAUGAGAAGAGGGGGCCAGACCGUUUCGACCACCGAGUCGAAACCCCUCUCCCUCCCUCCCUCUCUCUCUCCCUCUCUUAUCUUCCCUUUUCCUUUUUUUUUUUCCUCUUAAUUUACGACGCCACCGAAGCGGCCUCGAUAAUCAGGACCACGUCGCUGGAAUAGCAGCCCCCCCUCUCGCGACUUUCUUUUCCCUUUUUUUUUUUUUUUUUUUCUUUUUUUUACCUGCCGGAUUAGCAGCGAUAUCGGCCACGACCAAUGCAUGCACACUGUCGUCCUACGUUCCGCGCCAAGAUGGAAGCCGGGGUUGGAAGAAGGAGAGAAGGAUGAGACGAGAAGGGGGCGAGAAAGAGAGCAGGCCGGUGGUGAUGGGGAGGGAGCGGUUUAUGCGUUUCUUUCGUCGCGGGGUUUCGUUUGCAAUAAUUUAUGCGGGGAGACAGCUUGAGAAAUGACCGUUGGCUCCUUGUGCAACCUUAAUUUGCAACAGUUUACUUCGGCUACGUUUCGAGGGACGGUCGUUAGAGAGAAAGAGAGAGAGAGAGAGAGAUAUGGAUGUUAUGGGUGCCGCGCUUCGGAUCGCAUAAAGACAUUUAUCGCGGAUCGAGCAUCGAUGAGGAUCGAGGGGAAAAGAAAAAAAAGGAGAAAAAAGGAAGAGAAGGAGGAAUGCUUUGGCCCCGGACUAACUGGUAUAAUUAGCGAUACAGUGUUGUCCGUGGAUGCCGUGUGGGCGAGGGGGCCGACAGAGAGAAGAGCCGGCGACUUGUGGCCCCGCUUAUCGCUAUCGUUGGAAUGCAUUGUGGCCGGGUGCUACGUAAAAUAUGGACGCGUUCCCGAGGUGAAAAAUAA